rnacentral:lncRNA from 1 species
UUUAUGUCAAAAUAGCAAUAUUUUCUAGAGUACUUAAAUGGGAUAAAGAUUGAGAGGUAAUAUAGGUUUUAUACAACUUUGCUUUCUCUAUACACAUUACCAUAUGGACCACGAUAUAUUAACAACCAGAUUUUAACAACAUUUUGACAAUGACCACAUCUCAAAAUCUUAUUGGACCGUUGCAACAUAAUUUUUUUUUUUUUGUGCUGGCUUACGUGCAAAAAGGUGUUCCCAAAAUACCCUUAUCCUUGUGGAAAGUUUUUCAUUCUCUCUCUGGUCCACUUUGCUUUCUUUUUCUUUUAUCUCUCAUGAGCCUAAAACCCUUCUUAGUCCUUUCUCUCUCACGAACAAAAGCAUGUUGUCUCUUCAUACUCUUUGUGUUGUGGUUCAAGCUCCCUCCUUUUCCUUGUUCAAGCUUGAAGAUCUCUUCUUUCUCUCGUUGAAGCUCUCUCCCUUCUAUCGUUGAUGUUCUUUCCCUUCUCUCGUUGAAGUUCUCGUCUUUCUCAGUUCAUUUUCUUGUGGGAACAACAUCAAUUUUGAGUACAUGAACAACAUCUUAUUCCAUUUCAAUUUUGAGAAAAAAGGCCAUAUUGGUAAUAGAAGCCAGAUAGGUUAUGUCCAAAAAAUGAAAAAAUGAAAAAAUUGGGUAAUAGGACCAUCAUUACACUUAAACACCACUCAUUCACAUUGAACUUACUCACCCAUCCCAAAAAAUGGAAAAUUGAUCCAAAAAAUAAAAAAAACCUUCAUGGCAGUGUUGUUGUUCCAGUUUGGGAGUCACGUUGAACUUUCUAUACAAAUGGUACUCAGGCCCCUGGUAAUCGAUUACAUGACUCCUGUAAUCAAUUAUCGGGCCUUCAAAAAGGGAACAAUGGUCAUGCACCUCACCUCAAUUGGAGCAAACCACCUAAAUGGACAUUUUUUUGAAAAAAUAAUGGCCUAACCCAUAAUUGGUGCAAGGAACACACCCAAUAGCAUUGAACUCACUCACUCAUUUCAAAAAAUGGAAAGAUUAAAUAAAAAUAGAGCAAAAACCAUCAUAGGGAGUGUUGUUGUUCCAACUGGAGAGUGACGUUUAACUUUUUGUACAAACGGCCCUCAAGCCCCUAGUAAUCAAUUACAUGACCCCUAUGAUUAUCAGGCCUUCAAUAAGGGAACAAUGGUCAUGCACCUCACCUCAGUUGGAGCAAACCAGAUAAAUAGACAUUUUUUAAAAAAAAAUUAAUGGCCUAACCUCUUCAUUGGUGCAGGGACACACCCAAUAACAUUGAACUCACUCACUCUUCUCAAAAAAUGAAAAAAUUCAACCAAAAAUAGAGCAAAAACCAUGAUGGGAAGUGAUGUUGUUCCAAUUGGGGAGUCACGUUAAACUUUCUGUACAUAUGGCCCUCAAGCCCCUGGCAAUCGAUUACAUUAGCUUUGUAAUCGAUUACUAAGCUUUCAAAAAGGGAACAAAGGGCAUCCACCUCAUCUCAAUUGGAACAAACCAUCUAAAUGGGCAUUUUUUAAAGAAAUCAAUGGCCUAACCUCAUCAAUUGUGUAGGGAACACACCUAAUAGCAUUGAACUCACUCACUGUUCUCAAAAAAUGGAAAACUUCAACAAAUAUAGAGCAAAACCCAUCAAAGGGAGUGAUGUUGCUUCAGUUGGGGAGUCACAUUAAACUUUAUGUACAAAUGACCCUCAUGCCCCUGGUAAUCGAUUACAUGAUCCUUGUAAUCGAUUAUCGGGCAUGAGAAAGGCAUCAAAGGUCAUGGACCUGACCUUAGUUGGAGUAAACCACCUAAAUAGAAAUUUUUGUCAACAAAUCAAUGGACUAACCUCAUUAUUGGUGCUUGGAACACACCCAUUAACAUUCAAUUCACUCACCCUUGUUAUAAAAUGGAAAAAAUGACCAACAACAAAGGCAAAACCUUCAUGGGAAGUCUUGUUCAUCCAGUUGGGGAGUGACGUUGAACUUUCUAUAUAAAUGGCCCUCAGGCUACUUGUAAUGGAUUACAAGACCUCUGUAAUCGAUUACCAAGGCAUCUGAAAGGCAUCAAUGAUCAUUUCCUUGACCUCAGUUCGUGCAAAGCACCUAAAUGGCCAUUUUACUCAAUAAUUUAAGCCCCAAACGUGUUCAUUGAUGAAGUAAACAAUAAUCAUGACUUAGGAACUCAAUCAUCCAUCAGAAAAAGUGCAAAAAGUAACCUAAAAACACAGAUAAAGUAAAUCAAAUUUUAAAUUUUAGUCAUCAAAAUUGGAAUUUUAUUGAAAUAAUAUCUGACAAGUACAUAUUACCCAACAUGACCUUUUGUAUACUAAAAAGUUAUACAAGGCAAGUUAUACAAGACUAAAAAAAUCAAAAUCUUUAGACAACAUAUAAUUCAAAUCCUAUAAUACUAAUUCUUGCAACAGUUGGAAUCUUUGAACGUUAUCGUUGUCUAGAAUCCACUCACAUACAUAUUUUUGCCUAAAUCCGAACAACUUCUUCUGAAAUCAACACAUCGAACUUUAGAAAUUAACACAACACCACAAUUUAGUGAUUAAUCCACACUCAUUUCACGAAAUCCAUUUUCUUUACACAACUUAGACAUUAACAAAAACAUUAUUAGUAACAACAUGCACAAACCUUUAUUUCAUGGUGCUACCAACCUCCACAAUGUGAAAACCCCAAACCUUGGAGAAAGGACACACCUUUAAUCUUAGAUGGACAACAGGACAAAUAAGGAGAGACAAAAUGCAACGUCGGGGAAGGAAAAAUGCCGCCAACAAAAACAGAUAUAAAGGAGGGAGAGAGGGAUAUAUGCCAGCUACGAUCGUGCUUAUCAAACCAACUUCACCGUCGAUGGACAGAGGAAGAGCGAGAUAGAGAGAGACUCAGGAUUUCAGUGGAGAGACAUUGAGAAAUGGUGGAGAGAGGGUGAAGCAAUGAUGCUUUUCAAGAGACCAAGGAGAAACGUGUAAGGUUCCCUGAAAUGAAAAUUCAAAGAGCUUUUUUUCUUGCAAAACAUCUCUCAACAACAAAUUUCACCUUUUUUCAAAAAAAGUAUUAAACGAACCAAUCAACAAAAGUUACAAAUAAUUUGG